rnacentral:rRNA from 1 species
UACGUAGGGCGCAAGCGUUAUCCGGAAUUAUUGGGCGUAAAGAGCUCGUAGGCGGUUUGUCGCGUCUGCCGUGAAAGUCCGGGGCUCAACCUCGGACUUGCAGUGGGUACGGGCAGACUAGAGUGUGGUAGGGGAGACUGGAAUUCCUGGUGUAGCGGUGGAAUGCGCAGAUAUCAGGAGGAACACCGAUGGCGAAGGCAGGUCUCUGGGCCAUUACUGACGCUGAGGAGCGAAAGCAUGGGGAGCGAACAGG